rnacentral:misc_RNA from 1 species
UCCCCCGUGAGGGGGCAGUCUCGCCUGACAUAUAAAACAGACAACGAGGGUUGCGUUCGUUACCCCACUGAAGGGAACAACUCAAGCCACGGACUGACGACGACCAUGCAUCACCUGCCCAGCUGCCUUGCGGGGGCCCUAGUUUCCUAGGGCUUACAGCUGAGUUUCAAACCCUGGUGAGGUUCUUCGUUUACCAUCGAAUUGAGCCGCAUGAUCCACCGCUUGUGCAAGUCCCCGUCUAUUCCUUUGAGUUUUAAUCUUGCGAUCGUACUACCCAGGCGCCUAACUUAACGCGUUAGCUUCGCCCCAGAGAGGGUCGAUACUCCCUAGAGCCAGUUAGGAUCGUUUAGGGCGUGGACUAC